AUAGAUAUGGUGAAAAAAACACAAUUGACUUAGAAUCAAUCCACUGUAGGCUAAUCCUACUAUCUAAA
rnacentral:tRNA from 1 species